GAUGAACGCUGGCGGCGUGCCUAAUACAUGCAAGUCGAGCGAACGGACGAGGAGCUUGCUUCUCUGAUGUUAGCGGCGGACGGGUGAGUAACACGUGGAUAACCUACCUAUAAGACUGGGAUAACUUCGGGAAACCGGAGCUAAUACCGGAUAAUAUUUUGAACCGCAUGGUUCAAAAGUGAAAGACGGUCUUGCUGUCACUUAUAGAUGGAUCCGCGCUGCAUUAGCUAGUUGGUAAGGUAACGGCUUACCAAGGCAACGAUGCAUAGCCGACCUGAGAGGGUGAUCGGCCACACUGGAACUGAGACACGGUCCCGACUCCUACGGGAGGCAGCAGUCGGGCAUCUUCCGCAAUGGGCGAAAGCCUGACGGAGCAGCGCCGCGUGAGUGAUGAAGGUCUUCGGAUCGUAAACCUCUGUUAUUAGGGAAGAAAAUAUGUGUAAGUAACUGUGCACAUCUUGACGGUACCUAAUCAGAAAGCCCCGGCUAACUACGUG
rnacentral:rRNA from 1 species